rnacentral:lncRNA from 1 species
UGGAUCCAUUCUCCAGGACGAUAAAAAAAAGAUACCGCUGAUCUGACAGUUGCUCCGGCAUGUAGGCUAAGCAUUGACGAGAGAUAACCGGUAUGCCCCCCUCAAAAAACGAAAUAGGGUUUUCAGAAAAGGAAAGAAAGGAAACAGAGACCGCAAAAUUAUGGAGAAAAAAAAUUACUCAAUACGUUUUUUUUCUGGGAAGGAUUUUAGUGGUAAGUCAGUGCAGACGGCCUGUCGAACUGAGUAGCCUAGCUAGCCAAUAUAGCUAGAUUGAUAUCGUGGACUCACUCGGCUCGGUCAGAGCAGUAAUUAUUAACAUGAUGACGAUGAUAGCUACCAGCUAUGGCUAACUAAUUAGAUAUUAUAGCUGUAUUCCCCAAUAUUUGCUUGAUAUUUGUUAGCUAGUUAGACUAAAAUAAAAACCUAACAUGUAGCCUACCUAUCCAUACUGUAGAUGUUACUACUACUAACGUUACCGCUGUAGGCAAAGAUCCCAACGUGUCUACUACAUGAAGUUGAAACAGCAGACCUUGGAGUGCCUAGAGAGCCCCAGGUAGGCAGAAUCUCAGCAGAAAGCUGUCAGACAGACUGAUGCAGGAAGAGGAGUUAAAGAGUAGCAGCAGUGCCAGUGAAGGAGUGACAGAAGAGACUGAACAAGCAAGUAAUAAGGGAAAGGAAGAGUAUGGACAGAUUCAAAGUGAGGAAGAUUAGAUUUUAAAUGAUCCAGCACUGUGGCCAGAGAAAUUACAAGACCAUGAAAGAGAAGCUAUUGUUUGCAGACUAGCCAACAGGUGUGGUGAGGAGACAGAACUGUAUAAAAUCAUGCCCCCAGAUUCAGAAGGCAAGCCAUUCCCCAACUAUUUACAGUACAGUAAGUCAGCAAACGGAACAGAAAAGGUGCAGAGAGACUGGCUUUUUUAUAUUGAGUGUAAAGGCAUUAUAUUGCAUUCCAUGUGUUCUUUUUUCUCAUGAGCAAAGUAAACCAUCACCCAGUUCUCUGAAUAGUAAGGAUGGCUAUAAGAUAUCAUCAGUGAAAUGGUGGAGAAUGUAUGACAAACUACCAGAGCAUGAGGAUGGUGUCUCACAAGAACUGUUACUUGAAAUGGAAAAAUCUGCAGCAUACCGUAACAACAGGUAUAGACAGUCAGCUGCAGUAACAAAUUCAGUCAGAAAUGUAUAAAAACAGAGCACUUCUAGAAAGGAUUUUGGAUGUGACACUGUACUUAGCAUCUAGGAAUCUGCCAUUCUGGGGGAAUUCCCUCAAUCUUGAUGACGUGCAUAAUGGACAUUACCUGGAUUUACUGGAACUGUUGUCAAAUUAUGACCUGCUAUUAUGUGAGCACGACAUAAAGAAAGGAGCAUGACUGACUCAUUACCUCAGCCCUGAGAGCCAAAACGUGUUCAUAGGAAUAUGUGGUCAAAGGGUUUGGAAAACAAUACUUUAAUAGAUUGCAUCUUCUCUUUCAUACUCGGUUAUAUGUGAUGCAACUCCAGACAUUUCCCAUACUGAGCAAAAUGUACACUGCUCAAAAAAAUAAAGGGAACACUUAAACAACACAAUGUAACUCCAAGUCAAUCACACUUCUGUGAAAUCAAACUGUCCACUUAGGAAGCAACACUGAUUGACAAUAAAUUGCACAUGCUGUUGUGCAAAUGGAAUAGACAACAGGUGGAAAUUAUAGGCAAUUAGCAAGACACCCCCAAUAAAGGAGUGGUUCUGUAGGUGGGGACCACAGACCACUUCUCAGUUCCUAUGUUUCCUGGCUGAUGUUUUGGUCACUUUUGAAUGCUGGCAGUGCUUUCACUCUAGUGGUAGCAUGAGACGGAGUCUACAACCCACACAAGUGGCUCAGGUAGUGCAGCUUAUCCAGGAUGGCACAUCAAUGCGAGCUGUGGCAAGAAGUUUUGCUGUGUCUGUCAGUGUAGUGUCCAGAGCAUGGAGGCGCUACCAGGAGAUGUGGAGGAGGCCGUAGGAGGGCAACAACCCAGC